UGGUCUUCAAGACAUCGACUACUGUCUCUUCAAUUGCUUCUCAUCAUCAUGAAGCUGUUCGGUAUGUUGGUGCUGAUGAUGGCAGUGCUCGCGCUGCUGUCAGGAGCCAGCGCCAGUCCUAAGGGCAUCGGAGGCGCGCUCAGGAAGGGCGGCAAAGUUAUUAAACACGGCCUCAGCGCAAUUGGUGUCGUGGGAACCGGCCAUCAAAUAUAUCAGCAGUCCCAACAGCAGUGAAAAUGGACAAAACUAACAGCCAUGUUACUCCACAACCUACAUAUUUAUUGUGUAAUUUAUACAUAUAUUAUUUUUACAUUUAUUGUGUAAUAAAAACCAUCUUAUUAUGUACAGCGAAUCUACCUCUUUUAAUAAAUAAACUAUGAAUUAUAA